AAAUUUGCUUUAAUGUUGAGAAAUUUGAGUUAUUUCAGACAAAGCCUCAGGGAAUAGAUCAUGAUUCUGGAGGCCGUCAGCUGUGAUGGGGAGGAUCACCAACCCUUUUUUCAAAAGUUACCAGGUUGUGAGCAGACAGAUGUAUCUGGGGCCACGUGAUUUAAAGAGACUUGCUGCUUGGCUGUCUGUUGACCUCAUGCUCCACCUUUUCCUUCUGAGCACCUGGGAACUGUUAUUGCCCACUGACCUGCCAUGUGGUGCCCAGGAUCUGGAAGACAUCUGCCUUUCUCUGGCCCCUCUCUUUGGUCUGAGGAACCUUGGUGUACUUCUGUUAGUUCAACAAACAGCUGUCCAAGGGAAUGGAGUUCUCUCACCUAGGUACCAAGGAGGCUUUCUUCUUUUAACCUUGAACACUUUCACAAGGGGGCUGUCACAUCUCGGCGUGCCUGGCCUAAGUUGCUUUAUAACCAGCUGAAAUUGAAAACACUCUUAAGGAGCAUGGCUAAUGGCUGCAGCCUCCAAGGGCAUUUAGUCUGCGGUGCCAGGCUGGGGCUCAUCUGGAGGAGAGCCCUGUCUGAGCUGUGGCUAGUGUGGAUGCCAGGUCCUCAGGAUUUUCUCUCUGCAGCUUCUCUUCCCUUGGUCUGCCUUCUCUGGCUGUACAGACGCGUCCCUUUGGGAUGAGGCCAUCACCUGCUGAGCUGGACCCAGACUUGUGAUCUGAUGGGGCCAUCCAGGCCCUACUUGGUGCAGUUCACCUUCAGCCAUGAAAGCACCAGCCUCAGAGGUAACAUGCAGCAAAGCACAGUCUUAUCCCUGCUGCUGGGCCGUGCAUCAUAGCAUGUCCCUGCAGGACUGUGGUGCAGAGGUGGUGGGUGGGACUGGGGGGAGCUUUGGGGUGUCGUGAGGCAGCUGCAGAGAGAUCGGGCUGAGCAAGGCAAUGGGAUGGUGGCACGACAAGGAGCCAGAGGAAACCUGCACUUUGCCUUUCCCUAAUAACAACAGAGUAAAAGAAUGUUUUUGGUUAUAUGUGCUUUGGGAGCUGCUCGUGCACUGACUUGGUGCACUCCAAGCCUCCAUUCUGACGGAUGACUUUCACCAGGGGCAGCAGUUGGCAGGCAGCAUCUCAGCGAAUGGCCACGUGCAUGCUGUUACAGCAGAGCACAGCAACCAAACACGCCCUCUGCCUUUUGUGGGCUUAUGAGAGUUCUUGUGAGUUUGUCUCCCCUGUUUGUGGCACAACUGAAAGUUUUGUUUCUCUCCUGCUCCUGUCCCCUUGCUCACAUGCCAGCAUGCAGACAGAUGUGCUGCCUCUAUUUCUCACUUUCUCUCCCCAACAAGAGUGAUCUAUGGAUGCUCGGAGUCGGCACUACAUUAGCAGGGAAGACCCUGCAGCAAUGAGGCUCGAAUUCCGUGCAACUUCUGUCCAUUUAAUUAAGAAAUGCUACUCAUACAGAACUGAAUGCGCUAACCUAAUUUACUGCCAUGUCUGUCUGUCUCUCUGUCUGGCCUUUUGUCUCUCUCUGCAUCCUACACAAUGCCAUUGCAUCUUAUUACUUGAGCUCGGGAGGUUCUUGCUUGGUUGAGCCGAGAUCAAAAAGUAAUUUUUCUUUUUGCAACAGCCGAUUAGAAAUUCAUUUAUUUUCACAUUAGACGUUUGGCCAAUACCUCCCUGCCCCCAGUGAACAGAUCCCCCCCAACUUCAGCAAUUUAGCUCCAUUUGUAUAGUCUGCAUAAUGGGAGACAGUGAGCCCGUUAGAAAAAUGUGGCCCAGGGCAAAAAUUAAAUGCAGAAUCAUGUAUCAGAAAUGAGAUGUAUUUACUAUUGUUUUUGAAAAUUAAUGGUGCAUUUUUAGUUUUUAUAAUGUAAUUUAAUGAUGCAGUUCAUCUAAUAAAAAAGCACAUUUUAACUCAGUCAUACAGACCUACUGGGGCAGGACAAAACGUACCUUUCAGAUGUAAGACUUUUUACAAAUGCUUCGGGCUCUUUCUUGAUUGCAAAAAAAAGAGAAACUCUUUGCGUGUGUUGGCUCACAGCUGGGAUUUCAGCAGGAGUCCAAUAAAAAGGACAUUUUUCUUUCUAAAUAUUGUAUGCUGCACAAACACCAAUAAUACUAUAUAAAUGCAGCAGUGGGCUUGAAGUACAAUGCUGCAGCUGAUUAUAGGAUGCCAUAUGGUGCUGGCAUGUUAAACUGAUACAGAUUGAACAUGGACUGCAGCUUUAAAUGCUGUGGACCAGCAAACAACUGUGCUAAACUAGAAUAAAUAUACUAUGCAGUGUCAAUAUAGGGAGCUGUCAUUUUCAAUAGCAAAAAUAAAACUGUGUCAGAAUAGCACGAUCUGGUGGGAUAGACCCCUUAGAAGGCAGCAUGGAGCACAGAUCCCACUCAGUGCCUUGGUUUUCUUGUCGAGGACAUUGAGAGCUCUUUGUCCAUUUUGCAUCACCAUUUCCAUGUGCUUUGCAGAGUUGUUGCAUUCCAUGUGCAAGGGAAAUUUGCUGUGGGCUUUGAAACCUCCAAAAAGUGCAGCUCCAGCUCAGUGCCAUACAGCUACUGUGGGAUGGGGCAGCAGCUCAGCAGGCAGCAGGCCGUGUACUUAAGCUCAGCUGCUCCUGUUAAUUUUAAUAACGAUAGGAAGAGUUUUCUUGAGCUAGUAUUAGAUACUGUGUGCUCAGCUGCAACUUCAAGUUCUGCUCAGGAAAAGACGGCUUUACAAAAGCAGACAGUCACUUCUUUCAAAGCUGGAAAUCACACCUGAAUGCAUUUGGGAGGAGCACCUGGGCUGGUUGCAUGGUUUCCCAGCAGACCCCAUGAGAUGGCUCCUGUGACAAGAAAAAGGGGAGAGCUCGUGAGCUCUGGCAAGGUGCUCCUUAAGGGAAACCCUUUGCUGUUCACAUGAGAUUCAGUAAAAUGAAGUCAGAGCUAGUCUGUGUCUAACAGGGGCUCUGUUUGAUUUCCUGAUCAGUGUGCAGGCACGAGGAUGAAAGACAGAUGCUAUGUGGACAGGUUACACUUGAUCCCAGGAUCACCAUUCUUGUCUUUUCCUCAAUAACUUCACAGCCACUAUCGUGUUAGUAACUUGGUGCACCAGAGUAGGACAGAUCCCAGCCCUGGAUGUGCUGGUGGACAGGGAAGGCAGCAGUUGCUGGCUUUCUGUGGUGCCUGCAGCACCAUGUUGUCUGUGUAGGAUUUAUAAUCCAAUGAAACAAAAGACUGAUUUGAUGUGGCAGGUCCUACGUGGGGCUUGAUAUGGGGAAAGCAGUGCUGCUCUGAAACUUAAACCAACAAUAAGGGUUGUAUUUUGCAACUGAAUGGUCUCUGAUUCAAAGAGACUGUAGACUAGAUAAACUAUGUUAUGUAAAGAACAUCUCAGUUUAUCUAUUAAGUAAAGAGGUGAAUCUCUGGUAGACUCUCACCUGCAGAUGCAUUUUAUGUAAUGAAAGAAACAAAAAAGACUUUGCUGGGAGUUAGAGUCUUUGUUUGCUAAGGCUUGGGAUAAGUUUGAGCUGAACAAAUGUUCAGGACAGAAAUGAGAGAGCGAGCAGGCAGUGUUGCAUAGAGAGAGAGUUACUCGGGUGGGGAGAGGUAGAUGGUAGAAAAAAACAACCAACCAAACAACAACAUAUUUCCUAUAGAUGUAGAGUUAACUCACUUCUAACACUGUGAGUGGAGGAGUUGAAACAGACCUUUAUUUGAUUUUAUUUUAGCUGAUUUGGUGGGGGCCUCAUUAUUUGGUGCAAGGCUCUAUAUCAGUAAAAUGGCAGUGAAUUUCCAAAAAAGCAUCAUAUCAUUUUUCAAUGAGAAAUCCAGGAGCCUGGGAGCUGAUGUUAUGGUGUGAAUUACAUCGCAGAGCAGUUGUCAGCUGUCCCUGUCAGCACUUUCUCGAAUGCCAUAAUGUGCAAUAAAUGCUGUGGCUGCAGCUAUUUAGGAUUAUUAUGGUGGUGGUUUUAGGGGAAGCACCACAAAUUAACAGCUUAAGAAAUACAUCCCUUUUUCCUGAAUUGCCCAAUUCCUAAACAAUGCUUUGCUGGUGGGGCAUCACUGCUGUACCUGGUCCUAUUUCUGCUCACCUCUUCAAAUGAAGCAUGAGUGUCCUUUUUCUCCUUAGCAGGUUCCCCUGGAAGAGGAGCGGUGUGGGCUCUGGCUCUCCCAUUAGCUCACAGACUGGUUGCUCUCUACCUACACACAGCCUGGACCACAGACCCACUGAGGUCAGGACUUGAGGCUAUGGAGGACUGCAGGGCAGUGUGUCCCUGCUAGGUAAAUGUGCAGCUUAAAUCAGCAGGACGAAAGAAAACACGUGUUUAUGAUUAAAGGACUCGACAGAGAGCUGCUGCAGGGCUGUCUCCCUAUUACUGCUGGAGACAUUUCUCAGUGUGCUGCAUCACACUGGGUCCCAUCCCAGGUAGUGCUGGGAUAGACAACCUGAUCUCCCUGGGCCUUAGCUUUUAACUCAGUAAAUGUUUUUGCUAUUCAAAUACUAAUUAGAGAUGAUUGUUUUUGAUAACAUACUGUAAAUCUGACAAAACACAGCUUUCCCCCUGGAAUAAGCUUUUUCAAAUCACAUACAUGUGUUGCACAGAGCAGGUAGUGUCUGUGGGCUUAGAAGGAAGGUGGGGGUCACACUGACAUCUCUGUGUCCCAUCAGUGGGAUUUCUGUGCUGUGUGCUCUCUGAAGGUUACUGGCAGCUACUGAUGGGUCCCAGUGAGCCCUGCUGAGGCUCUGGGUGAGCUGAUGUGACUGGUGACAGGUUUGGCUCUGCUUGCUUUCUGCUGCUUCUUGGAAGGAAAUAAACCAGGUGAGCAAGAGAUUCAUUUCUGGGGGGAGUUGUGGGCACCUCCCUGCACACCUUGAUGAUGUUGCAACAUCUUAAGGUGUGCAGUUUACAAAUGCCUUUCAAUCAGGGUUCUAAAGUGUUUUAUUUAAUGGGAUAAAUCUCAUCAUUUGCAAUGAACUAGCCUUGCUAUGGCCGUGUUCAUAUUACGUUCUCUACCUAGGAGGUGUCUUUUAUCAGAAAAUUUGUCACUAGGUACCAAACCAACCCAGGAGUCCUUUGCUGCCAGUGUACAGCCCAGGUGACCCAAUCACCCAGGUGACAUCUGAGUGCUUCUGAAAACUCACUUGCAGUCACUUGCAAGUCCCUCACUUGCAGUCAGCUGGGGAGCCAGAUGUUUGGUCUCAUGUUCCUGGUCUGUGAGUCUGUCUGUCUCUAAUCUUCUUCCCCUGAAACCCUGCACAGCUAUGCCCUCACCUACUGUGCAAACUGUAUCUCCCAUGAGUGUGCUGGGUCCUCUGCAUGGUCCUAGGAGCAGCGUGCAGUGCACUCUGCUUGUGUCUCUCUGUGUUUCUGGUACUUGGGUUGUUUUAGCAAGUUUUAAAGAUUGCUUUGCCACUUGUUAUUUAAUGAAAAAAAGGAAGCUUUUCUCUUUAACCUGUUCUCAUGUGAGCAACGCCAGCUGGCAAUUGGGCAGUGAGAACCCACUCCAGCUGAAGUCGCAGCUUUCCUGGCUGCCAGGCACCUUGUGCAGCUUUUCCUCCUCCCUGCAGAUGGUACUGUUUGACCAUUUUGCAGCUACCCAGUGCAGGUAACUGCUGAUUUUUGGGUAAGUCUGACUAGCAUGUCCAGGCACAGUCCCUGGCAUAGCAGCAGGGCUGAAUCUGGCCCUGCACCUGCUGCUCUUAGAUGCAGAGCCAAGGUGUUGCCUUACCCACAGGACACCCAUGCACUGGGUGGAUAUGGAGAGGCCAUCUGCAUGGGAAGCAUCCUGAGAAAAUACAGGAGGGAUUUGUGUGCAGGACCCCUACCAGAACAGCAGCAUUGCUAUAGGUGGCCUGGGGCACUGGGCAAUAACUUAUCCCCCUGGGAAUUCAAAACCUCUUCAAGGGAGGAUGGCCAGAUCUUCUGUGGGGCUUAAUGAGCUCCCAGUGGGCUGCUGAGCUGGGAAAGGGCUCUGGAGACUCUGGCUGUUGUCUAAUCUCUUUUGGGAACAGGUGGAUGGAGCACAAGGCCAAGAAAGGACAAUGAGAACUUUAUAUGCAUGUUUCAUGCUUCUGGUUAGGUUUGUGUGAUAGGCAGUGUGGUGUUUUGCUUGUUCACCAGCCAGCUUUAAAGGCAUAGCACUAGCCCUGGAGUUGUUCCUGACCUGCAAAAGUCUGGAAAGAAGUUUUCAUCUUUCCUGGCCUUAUAUAGCAUGUCAGUGGUUCUACUCCAUCUGUUGCAGUUUUCCUUUGCUUGGGCAUGAUAUUAUAAAGGUACAGGUCCUCAAUUCUUUGCAGUGACAUGCUCAGUUGUGUCCUUCCUUCCCUCUGCCUGUGCCUGAAUUUCUGUCCUGAAGUCCCAUUGUCCCUUUAAAGCUGAUGAAGUAGGAAAUCAUCUCUCUUCCACCUUUUCCCUUUAGCUCUGCUCUGCAGUUUUACUCCAUCCUGCAUGGAGAGGGCAGCUGCUCAGGGUUCAGCUGCAACACGGACAAGGUGUUUGUCUCUUCUGAUCCGGUUGUGCAGCUGGUCCCUGCGGCACCGAGCCAGGCACUUCAUGCCUUAGCACUCAUCAGAUCAAUUUUCUUGCUUUGAAAGAGAAGUAGGUUGUUAACCUGCAUGCAAGGCAAUGGAAAACACCCACCUGCCUCUCGCCAGUGUGCUGAGCAGCUGCGGAGGGGCUUGGGAAGGGUGGUGGAACAGUUGGACAGCUGUGGGACUGAAGGAGAAGCAGCACCCAGCUCCAUCGGUCCCCAUGUUUGCUGUAAGCCUCAGAAAUAUUAGGGCUCAGUUGUUGAACGGUUGCCCGUCCACCUUUCACAGAUCCAAGUGUCUGCUCUAGGGGGAUUUCAAAGGCUUCUGCUGGUUUGUCUUCUCCAUGGGCUUCUCAUCCCCAGACUCACCACUUCAAGGAGGUGCAGGGAAGGAGCAGGGAAACAAGGGCUGAUUUUGCCUAGAUCCCCUGACUUUGGAGGUGGAAGAAGUCCAACAGCAAGGGGGUCUUUGUCCCCCAGCCCUGGGGGGGGAGGAAGAGGGACAAAGUGCGUGUUUGGCCAGGCCGUGCCCCCAGCUCUGGUUCCUCUGCCCAAAGCCCUCCUGCCAGGACAUCUCUGUUUCCCCCACAACCGCCCACUGUUCUGAAAGUCUCUGCAGAGCAGAGCAGCUCAAAGACAACAGAAGCACCAGAUAAAUCAUUCCUCCCCUGCUUCUCCCCCUCCAGCCCGAAUAGCUAAAGUGUCUUUAUUAUUUAAAAAAAACACCAUACACAGAAAAGCCCUAGUAAGGGAGACAGAUACAAAGCAAAGGAAAAAGAGAGGUUUAGGCAGCAAGCCACAAAUAAGCACCAUCAAUCAUAGUGCAGUCAAAAAAUGUACAUGUGUUGGUACCUGUGCGUUAUUGGCAGUACUCGAGGAGUCUCCUGAGUGCAAUCUUCAGGGCUCCUUAGAUAAAUAAAUAAAUAAAAUUCCAUGUUCCGCUGAAAAACUGCUUGUCAGCACCGGAAUGGCAGGUGCAUUAACUCCCUAAGAACCAGAUUAUGCCCUGCAUGGCAAAAAAAUGCAAACACAGAGAAAUAAGAUGUCAGUCAACUCCUGUAUCCUCCUGCUUUUCUUUGGUUGUUGUUCUUUUCUUGUUUUGUUUUGUUUUUAAUGGAAAGUAUUUUGAAAUACACAGUCCACUGUACAAAUGAAUGCAGGAAGAAGAGAGAUACAAAUCCAUACCUGUGUGCAUAUUUACCUGAAAUUUGCCUCCACUCCUCUCCCUUGGAGCUCUGAAGCGUUCCCUUAGAACACCCACCACUUUGAGAGCUCCCUUUUCCUUUCUAUCUACACUGCACUCUCCCUUUCCUUGUCUUGUAUCUUUAAUGGAGGACUCUGAGCUGUUGGUGAUGUGGCCUGGGCUUUCUGUGGAUGUCCUCUACCAUCUCUGGAGUCGCACCCCAAAGUUCUAUUGCUCCCUCCUUUUCAUAUAAAUAUAUAUUUUAAUCCAGGAGAGUGACAACAGUCCCAGUGGAAGCCCUGAAGAAGCAAAGCCCUGUGCCAGCGUGAGUAAAGGUUGCAUGACCUAGUAACAGAAGAUAAAUGGACGAGGAGAAAUGCCCAUUAGCCCUUCCCUUGACUUGACUAUGUGUUCCCUAAGAUCUCUAUCGUAUGUAGGAAAAUGCUGAUUAUUUUUAGCUGUGGGUGACCCAGCUGUUCCCCUUAGGACAACCUUCAGCCCUCCCAAGGACAGCAGGGAUGUUUGCCUGCUUCUGCUCAGCUGUCCUUGGGGCUGUGCUGAUGGCUUGGGGCUGAGUGAUGGUGGGGGUCAUUUGGUUUUCCAUGGGUGAUGUUUUGACACGAAAGCACGAAAGGCCCAGUGCCACCUCUUUUGUUAUGUUAUGGAGAUAUUUCUAACAGAAUUCACUUUUUUUUUUUCUUUUUUUUUUCUUGGCUUAAGUUAAUGAGGCUCAAAAAUUUUAUGAGCCUCCAAAACUGUACCUUCAGGGACACCCCUUGCUGGCACUGAAUGCAGAGUGCAGAUCUGGAUUUUGAGCAUGGCAUCCUGUUGGAAACAGAUCAAUACUGCGUAAGGAGGAUCUUGUUUCAGAGUAGGAAAGUAACAAUUAAGUUGGGAUUUCUUUGUUCUUGGUUUAGGAAAACAAAAACCAAAUCCAUAUUACAAAAGUCUGUGGUAAUAGUCUUGUUUGUGUUACCCAAAUCUGAGUAAACUCCAAGUGUAACUGCAGGUCAUGAUAGUGAAACAGCCCCAUUGAUGGCAGAGUUGGAAGCUUUCUCUAUCAGAUGGACGAGUUGGGCCUUCUUAAUUUUUAUUUCUCUUUGGUCACUCCUCUGUUUUCCCCUCAGCAUCUCCACAUUCACUUGGAGCUUCCCAUGGCAGCAGUGCACGGCCACCUGUGCUGCAGAUGGGACAGCCUGGGGGUGAGACAAGGCAGGCUGUCCCCAUGGCUGGCAGACAGAAACACUCCAUGGCAUGCUGUAAAGGCUGCAAAAUAGUAAAUAACAGAAGCAGAUGAGGACUGCAGAACCCAGGAAUGGCCCAAAUAUCCUUUUGCUUUCAGAAUUAAGGAGAGUGCUUGUGCAAAGCGAAGCAAUCGCGGUGAACAGCCCCAAAGUGGCUUCCAUGCAUGUUUUUGGGCUCCCCUCUCCUCAGCCCAGCAGCUUUCUCAUACAGACCACAGAUUUAUUUAAUUUAGGUCCUGCUGUUGGCAAUGGUCUUGCAAUGGGCUGCGGGUUAGGAAAAAGUAGAGAGUUUUUCCUUAAGCAAAAAGGAGAUGACAUUGCACAGAAAAAUAGAGCGAAAAACAGUUUGUUGGCCGUUUUUCUUCUCUGCCUUGCUUCUGCAUGGGAUGCCAGCAAAUGGAAUUGCAUUUGAGAGUGAUUUAAUAACAAAAUGACUUUUAUUUCUAACUCUUUUGCCUGCCUCAGAGCAGCAGGGCCACACGAUGGAGCUCUGAGGCUGCGGGGAGAACCUGCCUGCAUUCACGGGUAAAAAGCUGUCUGGAGACCUUGAAAUUACAGUUUUUAUUAAUUUUUCACUCCGUUUAAUUUUUUUUUACCUUCAUUUUAAAAUGGUAAACAUUCUUGACAUCGUAAUUGUAAAGUGGAAUUUACAGAUGCUAGCCAGAGGUAUUUACUUCUGCUUUUUUAAGAUUGGAACUUUUAUUUUUAUCUUUACAACAGUAACAGGAAUGUUUCUCCAUCUCCUGGGAGGCUGCAAUCCCAGGGACGGUGCUCACCGUGUAAUUCUUCUAAAUGACACCUGACUGCAUGGGGAAGCUCAGCCCUCACCAGCAAACCUGCUUUUAUAAGGAAUCAGAAGGAAAAAAACUUUGGAAUUUUCAGUAGUACAGAACUGCCUUCGGAAGGAAAAAUCCACUCGACUGAGAGCAGCGAUUCUGCAAGUAACUGAGGGAAUUACCAUCUCCCUUCUUCUCUUCUUCUCUGAAGCAUCAAAUAGUCUGAUUAAAAAAAAAAAAAA